rnacentral:rRNA from 1 species
UUUAUGGAGAGUUUGAUCCUGGCUCAGAGUGAACGCUGGCGGCGUGCCUAAUACAUGCAAGUCGAACGAUGAAGCUUCUAGCUUGCUAGAGUGCUGAUUAGUGGCGCACGGGUGAGUAACGCAUAGGUCAUGUGCCUCUUAGUUUGGGAUAGCCAUUGGAAACGAUGAUUAAUACCAGAUACUCCCUACGGGGGAAAGAUUUAUCGCUAAGAGAUCAGCCUAUGUCCUAUCAGCUUGUUGGUAAGGUAAUGGCUUACCAAGGCUAUGACGGGUAUCCGGCCUGAGAGGGUGAACGGACACACUGGAACUGAGACACGGUCCAGACUCCUACGGGAGGCAGCAGUAGGGAAUAUUGCUCAAUGGGGGAAACCCUGAAGCAGCAACGCCGCGUGGAGGAUGAAGGUUUUAGGAUUGUAAACUCCUUUUGUUAGAGAAGAUAAUGACGGUAUCUAACGAAUAAGCACCGGCUAACUCCGUGCCAGCAGCCGCGGUAAUACGGAGGGUGCAAGCGUUACUCGGAAUCACUGGGCGUAAAGAGCGCGUAGGCGGGAUAGUCAGUCAGGUGUGAAAUCCUAUGGCUUAACCAUAGAACUGCAUUUGAAACUACUAUUCUAGAGUGUGGGAGAGGUAGGUGGAAUUCUUGGUGUAGGGGUAAAAUCCGUAGAGAUCAAGAGGAAUACUCAUUGCGAAGGCGACCUGCUGGAACAUUACUGACGCUGAUUGUGCGAAAGCGUGGGGAGCAAACAGGAUUAGAUACCCUGGUAGUCCACGCCCUAAACGAUGGAUGCUAGUUGUUGGAGGGCUUAGUCUCUCCAGUAAUGCAGCUAACGCAUUAAGCAUCCCGCCUGGGGAGUACGGUCGCAAGAUUAAAACUCAAAGGAAUAGACGGGGACCCGCACAAGCGGUGGAGCAUGUGGUUUAAUUCGAAGAUACACGAAGAACCUUACCUAGGCUUGACAUUGAGAGAAUCCGCUAGAAAUAGUGGAGUGUCUAGCUUGCUAGACCUUGAAAACAGGUGCUGCACGGCUGUCGUCAGCUCGUGUCGUGAGAUGUUGGGUUAAGUCCCGCAACGAGCGCAACCCCCUUUCUUAGUUGCUAACAGGUUAUGCUGAGAACUCUAAGGAUACUGCCUCCGUAAGGAGGAGGAAGGUGGGGACGACGUCAAGUCAUCAUGGCCCUUACGCCUAGGGCUACACACGUGCUACAAUGGGGUGCACAAAGAGAAGCAAUACUGCGAAGUGGAGCCAAUCUUCAAAACACCUCUCAGUUCGGAUUGUAGGCUGCAACUCGCCUGCAUGAAGCUGGAAUCGCUAGUAAUCGCAAAUCAGCCAUGUUGCGGUGAAUACGUUCCCGGGUCUUGUACUCACCGCCCGUCACACCAUGGGAGUUGUGUUUGCCUUAAGUCAGGAUGCUAAAUUGGCUACUGCCCACGGCACACACAGCGACUGGGGUGAAGUCGUAACAAGGUAACCGUAGGUGAACCUGCGGUUGGAUCACCUCCUUUCUAGA